rnacentral:rRNA from 1 species
CAGCCGCCGCGGUAAAACGGAGAGUGCAAGCGUUACUCGGAAUCACUGGGCGUAAAGGACGCGUAGGCGGAUUAUCAAGUCUCUUGUGAAAUCUAACGGCUUAACCGUGAAACUGCUUGGGAAACUGAUAAUCUAGAGUAAGGGAGAGGCAGAUGGAAUUCUUGGUGUAGGGGUAAAAUCCGUAGAUAUCAAGAAGAAUACCUAUUGCGAAGGCGAUCUGCUGGAACUUAACUGACGCUAAUGCGUGAAAGCGUGGGGAGCAAACAGGAUUAGAUACCCGCGUAGUCCCUGUCUCUUAUAC